GCCAGGCAUGGUGGCACAUGCCCAUAGUCCCAGCUACUCAGGAGGCUGAGGUGGGAGGAUCACUUGAGCCCAGGAGAUCGAGGCUGCAGUGAGCUGUGAUUGUGCCACUGCACUCUAGCCUGGGUGACAGAGUGAGACCCUGUCUCAA
ensembl:misc_RNA Metazoa_SRP Metazoan signal recognition particle RNA